rnacentral:lncRNA from 1 species
CCGCUGGGCCUGCUCCGGGCGCUGGCGGCGGCCCGGCUCCUCCCCUCUGGCUCGACGACAAAUUGAGGAGACUCGGGUGUCUGUGCCUCACCCCCCCUACCAGGAGACCAACUGUUUCUGUCGCCGCUGGUAUUGAUGAAGUUCUCUCCUCCGCCGCUUUCUGAUGACAUCAGAUCUCUGCCAUGUUGGUAUCCUAUGCGAAUGGCAGCAUUUCGUUCCCCUUGCCGGGCAACCAAAGCAACGGGUGAGUCCUGACCGGCCCUCAGCAGGACCCGGACCGAGACGCAGUUUCCGCGGGCUCCUAGCCCCGGUCCAGGGAAGUUCCGGGAGCCGGAACUCGGCCGCUCCGUGCUCGGUGUAAGCUCCUAUAAGUGUAAGCUCCAAGAAGCAGUCCCCGCGGGCUCAGUUCCGGGAGCCGGAAUUCGGCCGCUUAGUGCUUGGUGUAUGCUCUGAUAGGAGCAGGGUCCAAGAAGCAGCCUCCGCAGGCUCCGCAGCCCUGAGCCAGGGCGGUUCCGGGACGGUUCCGGGAGCCGGAACUCGGCCGCCCCGCGCUCGGUGCCCUCUCCGAUAA